CUUCACUUAAUAUAAUUUUUAUCAGUCGAAGAGGACGGCCAUCCCCGAUAGAGGAGGACCGGUCUUCGGUCAAGGGUAUACGAGUAGCUGCGCUCCCCUGCUAGAACCUCCAAACAAGCUCUCAAUACAAAGUUUUAAAACAAGCAACUUUAUC
rnacentral:sRNA from 1 species